ACGAACGCUGGCGGCGUGCUUAACACCUGCCAGUCGAACGGAAAGGCCCUGCUUUUGUGGGGUGCUCGAGUGGCGAACGGGUGAGUAACACGUGAGUAACCUGCCCUUGACUUUGGGAUAACUUCAGGGAACUGGGGCUAAUACCGGAUAGGAGCUCCUGCUGCAUGGUGGGGGUUGGAAAGUUUCGGCGGUUGGGGAUGGACUCGCGGCUUAUCAGCUUGUUGGUGGGGUAGUGGCUUACCAAGGCUUUGACGGGUAGCCGGCCUGAGAGGGUGACCGGCCACAUUGGGACUGAGAUACGGCCCAGACUCCUACGGGAGGCAGCAGUGGGGAAUAUUGCACAAUGGGCGGAAGCCUGAUGCAGCAACGCCGCGUGCGGGAUGACGGCCUUCGGGUUGUAAACCGCUUUCGCCUGUGACGAAGCGUGAGUGACGGUAAUGGGUAAAGAAGCACCGGCUAACUACGUG
rnacentral:rRNA from 1 species